rnacentral:rRNA from 1 species
UACGAAGGGGGCUAGCGUUGUUCGGAUUUACUGGGCGUAAAGCGCACGUAGGCGGAUUGUUAAGUCGGGGGGUGAAAUCCUGGAGCUCAACUCCAGAACUGCCUUCGAUACUGGCGAUCUUGAGUCCGGGAGAGGUGAGUGGAACUCCGAGUGUAGAGGUGAAAUGCGCAGAUAUCAGGAGGAACACCAAUGGCGAAGGCAGCUCACUGGGACGGUACUGACGCUGAGACGCGAAAGCGUGGGGAGCAAACAGG